UUGCUCCCUGGUGGCGAGCGGCGGACGGGUGAGUAAUGCAUAGGAAUCUGCCCGGUAGUGGGGGAUAACCUGGGGAAACCCAGGCUAAUACCGCAUACGUCCUACGGGAGAAAGCAGGGGCUCUUCGGACCUUGCGCUAUCGGAUGAGCCUAUGUCGGAUUAGCUGGUUGGUGAGGUAAUGGCUCACCAAGGCGACGAUCCGUAGCUGGUCUGAGAGGAUGAUCAGCCACACUGGGACUGAGACACGGCCCAGACUCCUACGGGAGGCAGCAGUGGGGAAUAUUGGACAAUGGGCGCAAGCCUGAUCCAGCCAUGCCGCGUGUGUGAAGAAGGCUCUCGGGUUGUAAAGCACUUUCAGCGAGGAAGAAGGCUUGGCGGCUAAUACCCGUCAAGAAGGACAUCACUCGCAGAAGAAGCACCGGCUAACUCCGUGC
rnacentral:rRNA from 1 species